rnacentral:misc_RNA from 1 species
AAAGUUACAUUGCACAGCCAUCAGAAAAAUACUUCCCACGUGAUACAAAAAAACCAUGUGUCAUGAUUAUAUUCUUCUGAAAGGAAGAGUCAGAAAUUGCGAUCCUGGAGAUUAUCCCAUAGAUGUUCAGCAAGAUUUGGAAAGAUCUAUAGAGUUUUAUGAAGGCUGCUAAUGGCUAGAGAGUUUAAUGACAAGACUGCAUUUAGUAAUCUUGGUAAUACUCAUGUUUCUCUUUGAGAAUUUCAAAUAGCUAUACAUUAUUACUAG